AUCCUGGCUCAGAUUGAACGCUGGCGGCAUGCCUUACACAUGCAAGUCGAACGGCAGCGGACCUUCGGGUGCCGGCGAGUGGCGAACGGGUGAGUAAAGUAUCGGAACGUACCUUUCAGUGGGGGAUAACUGUCCGAAAGGACAGCUAAUACCGCAUAUUCUGUGAGCAGGAAAGCAGGGGAUCGCAAGACCUUGCGCUGAUUGAGCGGCCGAUAUCAGAUUAGCUAGUUGGUGAGGUAAAGGCUCACCAAGGCGACGAUCUGUAGCGGGUCUGAGAGGAUGAUCCGCCACACUGGAACUGAGACACGGUCCAGACUCCUACGGGAGGCAGCAGUGGGGAAUUUUGGACAAUGGGGGCAACCCUGAUCCAGCCAUGCCGCGUGAGUGAAGAAGGCCUUCGGGUUGUAAAGCUCUUUCGGCCGGGAAGAAAUCGCACAGGAUAAUACCCUGUGUGGAUGACGGUACCGGAAUAAGAAGCACCGGCUAACUACGUG
rnacentral:rRNA from 1 species